rnacentral:rRNA from 1 species
GACGAACGCUGGCGGCGUGCUUAACACAUGCAAGUCGAACGGAAAGGCCCUGCUUUUGUGGGGUGCUCGAGUGGCGAACGGGUGAGUAACACGUGAGUAACCUGCCCUUGACUUUGGGAUAACUUCAGGAAACUGGGGCUAAUACCGGAUAGGAGCUCCUGCUGCAUGGUGGGGGUUGGAAAGUUUCGGCGGUUGGGGAUGGACUCGCGGCUUAUCAGCUUGUUGGUGGGGUAGUGGCUUACCAAGGCUUUGACGGGUAGCCGGCCUGAGAGGGUGACCGGCCCCAUUGGGACUGAGAUACGGCCCAGACUCCUACGGGAGGCAGCAGUGGGGAAUCUUGCACAAUGGGCCGAAGCCUGAUGCAGCAACGCCGCGUGCGGGAUGACGGCCUUCGGGUUGUAAACCGCUUUCGCCUGUGACGAAGCGUGAGUGACGGUAAUGGGUAAAGAAGCACCGGCUAACUACGUG